ACUUGGAUAGUUUAAAUAAAACGUUGAUUUGUGACAUCAAAGAUGCAAAAUCUUGCUUUAGGUC
rnacentral:tRNA from 2 species